rnacentral:rRNA from 1 species
AUGACGUCAAAUCAUCAUGCCCUUAUGUCUAGGGCUACACACGUGCUACAAUGGUGAGGACAAAGAGACGCAAGACCGCGGGUGGAGCAAAUCUCACAAACCUACAUCCCAGUUCGGAUUGCAGGCUGAAACUCGCCUGCAUGAAGCCGGAGUUGCUAGUAAUCGCGAAUCAGCAUGUCGCGGUGAAUACGUUCCCGGGCCUU